rnacentral:rRNA from 1 species
AUUGAACGCUGGCGGCAUGCUUUACACAUGCAAGUCGAACGGGGUGAGGGGGCAACCUCUCACUCAGUGGCGAACGGGUGAGUAAUACAUCGGAACGUGUCCCGUAGUGGGGGAUAACGCCGCGAAAGCGGCGCUAAUACCGCAUACGCUCUACGGAGGAAAGCGGGGGACCCGCAAGGGCCUCGUGCUAGGGGGGCGGCCGAUGUCCGAUUAGGUUGUUGGUGGGGUAAUGGCCUACCAAGCCUGCGAUCGGUAGCUGGGCUGGGAGGAGGAUCAGCCACACUGGGACAGAGGCACGGCCCAGACUCCUUCGGGAGGCAGGAGUGGGGAAUUGUGGACGAUGGGGGCAACCCUGAUCCAGCCAUGCCGCGUGCGGGAAGAAGGCCUUCGGGUUGUAAACCGCUUUUAGCCGGGACGAAAGCGCCACGGAUAACACCCGUGGCGGUUGACGGUACCGGCGGAAUAAGCACCGGCUAACUACGUGCCAGCCGCCGCGGUAAGAC